rnacentral:RNase_P_RNA from 1 species
AGGAAAGUCCGGGCUUCACAGGGCAGGAUGCUUCCUAACUGGAAGGACCGCACUUUGUGUGCGGGAGGAAAGUGCCACAGAAAACAUACCGCCCGACGCUCUUGGUGCCGGGUAAGGGUGAAAUGGCGAGGUAAGAGCUCACCACUCUGAUGGUGACAUCAGAGGUACGGCAAACCCCAUCCGAAG